UACGUAGGGUGCGAGCGUUUGUCCGGAAUUACUGGGCGUAAAGAGCUCGUAGGUGGUUUGUCGCGUUGUCCGUGAAAACUCACAACUCAAUUGUGGGCGUGCGGGCGAUACGGGCAGACUGGAGUACUGCAGGGGAGACUGGAAUUCCUGGUGUAGCGGUGAAAUGCGCAGAUAUCAGGAGGAACACCGGUGGCGAAGGCGGGUCUCUGGGCCGAUACUGACGCUGAGGAGCGAAAGCUAGGGGAGCGAACAGG
rnacentral:rRNA from 1 species